GGGGGCCUUAUUAUUCUGCGUCCCUCUCAGCAGCUCCCACAGCGCCCAGUGCCUGGCAUGUGCUCCACAGACACACGAAGAAAUGAAGGCGGGUACAGGAGAGGAAGGGGACAAGAGGACAGAGGAAGGCUGUGGAUCCGGUCGUGGGAAGCAGCUUUCUGUGCCUCAGCCCUCCACAGAGAAGACUGCUAGGCCUGAGCUGACUCCCCUGGAAACCCCAGACUCCAGUGACGUGCUUCUGGAACCUGCUCAGACAAAGUUAGGUAAGAGCCUGGGCAGUGGGUGGGUUGCAACACCCAGCCUGGCUGACCAGAAAGCUGAAGAGGACUGGAAGUUCAAGAAGAAGUAGAGAGGAGGUGGAGAGAGAGAAAGGGCAGAAGGAGGAGACAUCGAAGACCUCCCGAACAUCUUCUGUGGGAUCUCAGAGAAGGCAAAGCUCACCCUCCUGACUCCAGGACUCAUUUGUGUCCAGCCACUGAAUUAUCUACUUGUUACCCCUCCUGUGGAUCUCUCCCGAGGGAAAGAUCUACCUUGGAAGGCUGGUAAUAAAAGAUGUGGAGCUGAGCCACCUUUGGCCACGUAGAUGAAGACACCUUAGAAGAUGGCAGAGACACAAAAUGGAAAAGCCCUGGGUCUCCAUAAGAUGACAUGGUGGACAUCUGCCCUGCCAGUCUGGACCAUUCAUUUCCAGACUAUGAGUGAGAAAUAUGCUUCCAUCUUAUUUAAGCAACUGUAUUUGGAUAUUUGAAGUGUUUCAUGAUCACGAUAAGAAUUACCGCCACCCACAGUAUCCAUCGCAGUGGGCAGAGCCCGUGGCAGUGAGCAUGCAGCUUGGCUCCCCAGCUCUGGUCCCAUCUCUACUGCUCUGGAGCUAUGGCACUUGGAAAAGUUUCUUCGCUUCUCAAGCCUCAGUGUCCUCAUCUGUAAAAUAAGGAUAAUAAUAGGACUUUCCUUAGAGUAUUUUUGUGAGGCUUACAUGAGUUAAAAUGUAAGGUGCUUAGUGUAAUGCUGGGCACACAACGAGUACAACAUAAGCAUCAGAUUUUUCUUCCUAUUUCUCAACCUGUGACACUCAGCUGUCAUCUCUGUGAAACUUUCCAGGACACUGUCCCCAUGUCUAAUCCAUCUAUCAAGACUGGGCCAAGGAGAACUGGGCGCUCCAUCCUGACUUCCACCUUGCUUAAUUGUGUAGCAUAACUAUUUGUCUGUCUGUCUGCCUGACUAUACUGCUCUCUUAUUUAUCUUUGUGUCCCUGAUGUCUGGCAAUGAUAGGAAUGUAAGAAUCAUUGUGGAUGACUGAAAGAACAAACAAAAAAAUGAACAAGUGAACGUCCCUCCUGUCUCCAGUGCAUCCACUAGUGUUUUCUCCCAUCCCCCCUCCUCUUUCCAGGCGCCCUGGACUAUUAGACUGGCUUAAGUCCCUCCAAUCACAGAAGAAAUACUUGACCAAGAGUCAUUACUCUAAACAAACACUCUUUCGGGGUUGUAAAAGAAACCCAUAUGUAGAAGGCAAGGUUAACACAAAGGAAAGAGUCUCUAAUGGUAGAAUCUAAGAUUCUAAGGCACGCACGUGUGCACACGCACACACACCAUCUAUCUCUGCUCAGAGGGAUUAUCUCAGCAAGUGAGACAUAUUGGAAGGUAAUGUGGGAACAGAGCUCUCAGGGAAAAAGUUGUGAAUGUUCUUUGAAGAGUUGUGCGUGAGUCACAUUUUUAAAAAACACAAAUCAUAUUCCUAGUGAAUAAAAGAAUGUUUUUAAUUUACUGGAGGACCUGGCUAGUUAAAUCUUAUUGUGAACUCUUUAUUAAAGACUGAAGUAAGGAAUUCUUUUGUUAAGUAAAUAUUCAGGCCCUUCCUUGCCAAAGAGCUUUUGAAAUCUUUGCUGUAAUUAUGCUGAUGUUUUCUGUGUUUAUAUGUUAAAUGCCUAGAGCUUAAUUGUUAAUGGGUAAAUAAGAGGAGCCACACGGUCCUUGCCAAGAGAGGCCCAAGAACCAGGGCUGUAAGAACAAUGGUUCCGCGGGGCUCCCCUGGAGGGGGUGAAAGGCAGUAGGGUAAGCCAGCGGCUUGGGCUCUUCUCUGUAGGCACGGCUCCUACGGGGCCCGGGGAAGAGACAGACCUGGGGGUGACAACGAAGGCUACUGUCAGGUCGUGGGCCUGGGCCUGAACGAAGGUGUCUGCAGGGCCCUAUCCAGCCCACGUUUUGUUUUUCUGCACCGUCAAUAGGUCAAGAAUUCCUGCUGCCCUCAAGAAAACCAACCGGAGAAUUAUGACACUGUAGGAAUAACUGGCAACCAGAUGACGGGCCGAGGGCUGAGGUCCUGGGCUGGUCUCUCAAGGCAUUGGCCCGGUUGGAAUUCCACAGCCACCCGCUCGUGAGCUCUGCAGCUAUUAAAGCUUAGGCAUGUAAUUUAACCUUUCCUCGAGGUCCUUCUCAGCAUACUGGGGAUAAAGGGACCUACUUCACAAGGGUUUCAUGAAAAUUAAAUAAAUUAGCAUGUAGAAAAAUGCUUAGAACCAUGACUGGCAUAUAGUAAGUGCUAUAUAAAUUAAAUAUUUAACUGAGAGUUAAAUAAACAUUGUGUUAGGUUUCCAGAUAUCAAGUUGAUCUGGAACAGAGGUGCAACCAACACCUUGCUUGUGGAUCGUUUGCAGCGUUCCAGUGAAUUGGUCCUCCUUCACAUCGAUGCAUAUUUAAAUACAGUGUAGUCUUUCUAGUCUCUGCAGUGCAUCCUCCAAAAGAUUAUAUGCCCAGGAUAAGAACUUGUGAGGAUGAUAAAUAGAAGAUAAAAACAACAACAAACACGCACAUAGAGACACAUAUUGGG